ensembl:lncRNA
GUUGAGGAUUAAGACAAGUUACUAUAUAUCAAGUAAACAACAAGGAUAUAUUUCACAGCACAGGGAAAUACAGCCACUAUUUCGUAAUGACUUUAAAUGGAGUAUGAUCUAUAAAAGUACCGAGUCAUUACGUGAUUGCUGGGCUGCAACCAGCAGGCAUGCAAGGCCCGUACUUGCCCAGGUCUGAGAUGGAAGAGAGCCAGGAAACCACGAGAGAGACAUAAAUGAUUUAGUAAAUAGGGCAGGGGUCCCCAAAUCCAGGCCGAGGACUCAUAGAAACCAGGCCGAACAGCAGGAGGUAGGAACAGUGUUUCAUGCAAGAGAAAAAGCAUUAUAAGCAUUCUGUUUUGGUGAACAUGGAAAAUGAAUUCUCAGAUUUGGGGCUUCUAAUGGCAAAUUAAAUCCAUCUUACCAAGAAAAGAAAAUGAGAAAAAAAAUAACUUUUAUACUGUGGGAAAUAACUGGUGUGCUGAUCUUUUUGAAUCUCCUGAUUUCUUCACCUUGUCAUGGUUUUCCUUAAUGGCGACACAGGUUUAAGAAAAUAAAACCCAUCUGAUAGAAGUUCUUUGUCUUCCCCCUUUUAAAUUAUUUAGUAACAUUGGGUAGCUAAGAAAUUGUCUCUGCUCCUACAAAAAACCCCUAUGCUAAUUGUGGCCUGAAAAAUCAGUAAUUAUAACAGAUUAUACAAAGCAGGAACGGCUACACUAACGUUAGGGAGGAAAGGGUGCAAUUAUGUGGCUCAGCCUAAGACAUCUUCACUCUGAAUCUCUGUGAAGAAUGAAGAAAAAAAGCUCCACACCAAAAUUGAAGGGGACCAGUUUUCUGAUUGUGUCCUAGGGGAUUUGGAUAAAGCUCAAGCAAUUUGAAGCAUACCCUCAGGUUGUACUCAGCAGAAUUCCUGACCUCUGCCACAUCCUAUCUAUCAUAAGCCUUUAUCAGGAGAAGAUGCCAAAUCACAAGCCAUUUGGUGGCAUAUAAUUGCUUCGACAUUGACAGCAGAAGGGUAUAUAUCAUCUCCUAUGUUAAAAGGGGAGUGAGUGUUUUAAAUGGAAGAAGACUGAAUAUAAAAGCAAAUUUAAAUAAACACGAAAGAGAAGCUAAACCAAUACUAAACUGAAAGGGAUAUCAAAAUAAAAUGAAAGCUUAAAUAUGGACUGAAGAAAACAAUUAAUAAUGUAUGAUUUCUAAUGACACUUUCUGAUCUAUUAGAAAUGUUGAAGAAGCAAGAAUUAAGAAAGAAACGGAAGAAGAAAGGAAGAAAGGAGGAAUAGAGAAAAUAAUAUGACUUAGAAAAGCUUAUGAGAGCGUGGAACUGAUUUUAUAUAUGUGAAGCUUUGUGAUUGGUUUUGUGGGUACAGAAUUAAAUAAUACUAAACUGUACAGAAAGGUCUUCUAAGUCUCUAUUUUUUCACUUAUGUCACGAGGAACAUCUCUGGGCAGUCUGUCUUCAUCUUUAACACCUUCAAACCUUCCUUUGAAGAGGAAAAACAGAACAGGCUGCAAACUCUGAGCCUUUGGUUGAUGACAGCAUCCAACUCAAAUUUAAUUACAUUGUUAUUUUUAGUGUAUUUAUUUUUGUGGUUACCCUCUAUCUAUGGCAAGUGAACUGGUUUCCAUUUGUGAUAGGCCUGUAAUUUUUUUUCUUUACUUGCAUUUAUAAAAACAGAGUCAACUUAAAGACAAACAUCAGACAGAUAAGAGUACAAGGUGAAGAAAAGAAAACCAGUGUGGGUCCAGUGUGGGUUAGGCAAAAACCUUGUAAGAGGCACAAGUAAUUUUAGUUAAGAAAAUAUCAAUGUAAAAUCAUAGACUGUCAGAGCUAGAGGAGGCUAAGAGCAGCCAAUCUAAAUCCCCUCUCCUUGUAAAAGCCCCAAAGACAGGGCAGGAAUAGCCAGAGAAUGGACAGUAUAGCCUGCAGCAGCAAAGACGAUCUUGAAUCUAAGCUUGCUACCUCCUCCUCCAGUGCUAUACUGUUAUUUAACUUGUAGGCCUCUCCAAAGCUAUAUGUGGUGGAACUGGCUACACGUGUCUAGUCCACAAGGAUGUCAGAAUACAGGAAGCAGGCGACAAAGGAAUUUAUAGUCUUUAUUAACACGGAUAAAAUUUGUGCAACUUGAAGAACCAC